UUCCUCCCGCCCGCCUCUCUCUCUCCCUCCAAACCCUAACCCUAAACUGCGCCCGCCUUCCUGUCCCGCCGGCCGCCGCCGUCGCUCGCCCAGGCACCCGCCCCGCACUCGGCGCCGGCGCCGUCGCCCCCUCUCCUCUUCCUCCCGCCCGUGCCUCACCGCGGCUUCCUCCCGGCUCCUCGUCUGCGGCCUCGACGGCGGCCCCGUGCUCUACCUCGAGGCGCGCCACGCUGGCCGGGUGCGCUACGUGCUCUCCUGGGACGCCAGCCGCCGCAUCUGCGUCUUCACCGAGAACGGCAUGCGUCCGUCACCCGUGCGGAUAGGACUCCUCCUCUUCCCUACCUCGGGGGCGCGGAGAUGCUAACGGAGAAGCCCAGCUGGGUUCGCCAUGACGGCCUGCAGAUCUUCUCCAUCAACAUCCAGCCGAGUGGCCUCCGCUUCGCCACGGGAGGUGGUGACCAGAAGAGUAGGAGGCAGAGAGGGAGAUGGGGUGGUAAGAAGAGAGGGUGAGGAAGGAGGAAGAGGAGAUCCUCCCGGCACUCAUGGUGGUCGCCCAGAUCCCAGCGGGGAUGGCAGUCCAACAUGCUCUGUGGUGUUCUAAAGUGUAAACUGCUAGCAGAGCUACACUGCGGACUACAGAGUUGAUCUGAAUGUCUGCUAUUCUAAGGUUCAAUAUAUGAUUCUUUCUGUCAGCGUUCUUCCUUGGAAACAAAAUGAUCAAAUCAUCUUCUUGGGUAUUUACUUCUCUUUCUCAUGUUAAGUUAGCAUUUUGGUGUUGUGUAUUUUCAGAUUGUGCUCCCACUAACUUUUUUAGCCCUUGUGCUAAAGAUGCAUGUGUGGCUUGAUUAUGAAAUUAUGGUUAUGAACACAAAGCUAAUUGGUACUCUGUUCUACACUACUCUCCCUUGGAACAUGAUCUCGCAAAAGAGGGGAAGCCAAACAUAGGUGUGCUGCUUCUACUUGCAUAAAAGCUGAUAUUGUCAUGAUCCUUAGUCAUGUCUUCUUAAAAUAAAGGGAUUUUGCAUUGACAGAUGGAACCAAAAAUCUUCGGAACCUGACAGCAUUCAUUUUUUCUCCUGGGUGCUGCUAGAUCCUGUGUAACUAAAUGUUCUUUUCCAUUUAAGGGGAACCAUGCCCAUGCGACGGUACUGAACAAAGUUGUGCACGUGGUCGUGGACACUCUACGCGAAAGAAAUUUGUAUAAAUAUACAAUGCUCUUUUUGAAGCCUCCUGGGAUGAUAUUGGAAGGAACUCGAGCGGAAGGCCGCCGGACAUGGAAGAAAUGAGCCCAAGCCCAAUGUAACUUUUCUCUCUCUGAAGCAAUGCCUAUUUAUUGCUUUUGUGUUGGUACUUUCAGUUCUUUGAGAUUCUUAUUUGUGCAAAAACAUCGGUGAUGUGGCAGAGAAGGUGAAUUGUAGCAGCAACGUGAAAGUAUGUACAUAACAAUUUGUUGGAAAUAUGCCCUAGAGGCAAUAAUAAAAUGGUUAUUAUUGUA